rnacentral:rRNA from 1 species
AUCAGCCACACUGGGACUGAGACACGGCCCAGACUCCUACGGGAGGCAGCAGUAGGGAAUCUUGCGCAAUGGGCGAAAGCCUGACGCAGCAACGCCGCGUGGGGGACGAAUGCUUUCUGAGUUGUAAACCCCUUUCAGCAGGGACGAUUGUGACGGUACCUGCAGAAGAAGCACCGGCCAACUACGUGCCAGCAGCCGCGGUGAUACGUAGGGUGCAAGCGUUGUCCGGAUUUAUUGGGCGUAAAGAGCUCGUAGGCGGUUUGGUAAGUCAGGUGUGAAAUCCCCAGGCUCAACCUGGGGCUGCCAUCUGAUACUGCCAUGACUUGAGUCCGGUAGGGGACCACGGAAUUCCAGGUGUAGCGGUGAAAUGCGCAGAUAUCUGGAGGAACACCAGUAGCGAAGGCGGUGGUCUGGGCCGGCACUGACGCUGAGGAGCGAAAGCGUGGGGAGCGAACAGGAUUAGAUACCCUGGUAGUCCACGCCGUAAACGUUGGGCACUAGGUGUGGGGACUAUUCAACGGUUUCCGCGCCGCAGCUAACGCAUUAAGUGCCCCGCCUGGGGAGUACGGCCGCAAGGCUAAA